rnacentral:rRNA from 1 species
ACGGAGGGUGCAAGCGUUGUCCGGAUUUAUUGGGCGUAAAGCGCGUGUAGGCGGCUCGUUAAGUCGGAGGUGAAAUCCUGCGGCUCAACUGCAGAACUGCCUUCGAUACUGGCGAGCUUGAGUGCGAGAGGGGUAGGUGGAAUUCCUGGUGUAGAGGUGAAAUUCGUAGAUAUCGGGAAGAACACCGGUGGCGAAGGCGGCCUACUGGUUCGUAACUGACGCUGAGGCGCGAAAGCGUGGGGAGCAAACAG